rnacentral:rRNA from 1 species
GCAGCCGCGGUAAUUCCAGCUCCAAUAGCGUAUAUUAAAGUUGUUGCCGUUAAAAAGCUCGUAGUCGAACUUCGGCGCCUGAUGGCCGGUCCGCCUUCUUGGUGUGUACUUGCUCAUCGGGCGCUUACCUCCUGGUGAACUCUGAUGUCCUUUAUUGGGUGUCAGAGCAAACCAGGACGUUUACUUUGAAAAAAUUAGAGUGUUCAAAGCAGGCCUACGCCCGAAUACAUUAGCAUGGAAUAAUAGAAUAGGACGCGCGUUCCCAUUUUGUUGGUUUCUGAGAUCGCCGUAAUGAUUAAUAGGGAUAGUUGGGGGCAUUUGUAUUCCGUCGUCAGAGGUGAAAUUCUUGGAUUGAUUGAAGACUAACUACUGCGAAAGCAUUUGCCAAGGAUGU